rnacentral:rRNA from 1 species
CAUGCAAGUCGAACGAUGAUAGAGAGCUUGCUUUCUUGAUUAGUGGCGCACGGGUGAGUAAUGCAUAGAUAAUGUGCCCCUUAGUUCGGGAUAGCCACUGGAAACGGUGAUUAAUACCGGAUACUCCUUCUUGUUAUAAGACAAGUCGGGAAAGUUUUUCGCUAAGGGAUCAGUCUAUGUUCCAUCAGCUUGUUGGUGAGGUAAUGGCUCACCAAGGCUAUGACGGAUAUCUGGUUUGAGAGGAUGAUCAGACACACUGGAACUGAGACACGGUCCAGACUCCUACGGGAGGCAGCAGUGAGGAAUAUUGCACAAUGGAGGAAACUCUGAUGCAGCAACGCCGCGUGGAGGAUGACGCAUUUCGGUGUGUAAACUCCUUUUAUUAGGGAAGAUAAUGACGGUACCUAAUGAAUAAGCACCGGCUAACUCCGUGCCAGCAGCCGCGGUAAUACGGAGGGUGCAAGCGUUACUCGGAAUCACUGGGCGUAAAGGGUGCGUAGGCUGGCUUUUAAGUCAGAUGUGAAAUCCAAUGGCUCAACCAUUGAACUGCAUUUGAAACUGAAAGCCUAGAGUUCAGAAGGGGCAGAUGGAAUUAGUGGUGUAGGGGUAAAAUCCGUAGAUAUCACUAGGAAUAUCAAAAGCGAAGGCGAUCUGCUGGGA